GGGAGGGUGGCUCAGUGGUAGAGUGCUUGCCUUGCAUGCAUGAGGCCCUGGAUUCAAUUUCUCAGCACUACAU
rfam:Dipodomys ordii contig_73211, whole genome shotgun sequence.